UACGGAGGGUGCAAGCGUUGUCCGGAUUUAUUGGGUUUAAAGGGUGCGUAGGCGGCUCUUUAAGUCAGUGGUGAAAUCCUGCAGCUUAACUGUAGAAUUGCCAUUGAUACUGAAGAGCUUGAGUACAGACGAGGUAGGCGGAAUUUAUGGUGUAGCGGUGAAAUGCAUAGAUACCAUAAAGAACUCCUAUUGCGAAGGCAGCUUACUAGGCUGUAACUGACGCUGAGGCACGAAAGCGUGGGGAUCAAACAGG
rnacentral:rRNA from 1 species